UCUGGAAAAGUGUUUUCUGAGAAUCAGAGGCAUCAUCCCCAAGAACAUGAAAGUCCUGUGGUUAUUCCUCUUUCUGGUGGCAGCUCCCAGAUGUGUCCUGUCCCAGGUGCAGCUGAAGGAAUCGGGACCUGGCCUGGUGAAGCCCUCACAGACCCUGUCCCUCACCUGCUCUGUCUCUGGAUUCUCUUUAUCCAGCAGUUAUAUGGACUGGAUCCGCCAGGCUCCAGGAAAGGGGCUGGAGUGGGUUGGUGCAAUAGGUAGUAGUGGAAGCACAUACUACAACCCAACGCUUAAGUCCCGACUCACCAUCACCAGGGACACCUCCAAGAAUGAAGUUUCUUUAAAAGUGAGCAGCCUGAGAACCGAUGACACAGCCUUGUAUUACUGUGCAAGAGGCACAGUGAGAGGAAGUCAGGGUGUCCUGUCCCAGGUGCAGAUACAGGACUCAGGACCUGGCCUGGUGAAGCCCUCAGAGACCCUGUCCUUCAACUGCUCUGUCUCUGGAUUCUCCAUCACAACCAGUCCUUACUGCUGGGUUUGUAUCCACCAACAAUGGAAGGGACUGCAGUGGUUAUCAAGAGUAUGUAGUAAUGUUGACAAUUACUACAAUCUUUCCCCCAAGAGCCUACUCUCUGCCUCCAGAGACACACUGAAGAAUCAUUUCAAUGUUCAGCUGAGUUCUGUGACUGCUAAGGACAUGGCCCUGUAUUACUGUGUGAAAUAG